rnacentral:rRNA from 1 species
GUGGGGAAUAUUCCGCAAUGGACGAAAGUCUGACGGAGCAACGCCGCGUGAGUGAUGAAGGUUUUCGGACUGUAAAGCUCUGUUGUUUAGGACGAAAGUGCCUGUUGCAAAUAGUUACAGGUAUUGACGGUACUGAACGAGGAAGCCACGGCUAACUACGUGCCAGCAGCCGCGGUAAUACGUAGGUGGCAAGCGUUGUCCGGAAUUAUUGGGCGUAAAGAGCAUGUAGGCGGGAAUCUAAGUCUGUUGUGAAAAUGCGGGGGUCAACCCCGUAUUGGGAUGGAAACUGGGUUUCUUGAGUGCAGGAGAGGAAAGGGGAAUUCCCAGUGUAGCGGUGAAAUGCGUAGAUAUUGGGAGGAACACCAGUGGCGAAGGCGCCUUUCUGGACUGUGUCUGACGCUGAGAUGCGAAAGCCAGGGUAGCGAACGGGAUUAGAUACCCGGUAGUCC